UUGGCGCGAAGGUCCGCGAAGCAGCCCUCACGCAGGGACAGCAGGAAACAAUAGAGGCCGCGCGCGGAGAGCGAGCGUUCCGUAGCUUCCCCGCCCCUCCCGCAAAACGGUAGACCUCGGGAUCCCCCUGGCUUUCCUGCACACCAUGGCCGACAAGGAAGCAGCCUUUGAUGACGCAGUAGAAGAACGCGUGAUCAACGAAGAGUACAAAAUAUGGAAAAAGAACACCCCUUUUCUUUACGAUUUGGUGAUGACCCAUGCUCUGGAGUGGCCGAGCUUAACUGCACAGUGGCUUCCCGAUGUAACCAGACCAGAAGGGAAAGAUUUCAGCAUUCAUCGACUUGUCCUGGGGACACACACAUCGGAUGAACAAAACCACCUUGUGAUAGCCAGUGUGCAACUCCCUAAUGAUGAUGCUCAGUUUGAUGCUUCACACUACGACAGUGAGAAAGGAGAAUUUGGAGGUUUUGGCUCUGUUAGUGGAAAAAUUGAAAUAGAAAUUAAGAUCAACCAUGAAGGAGAAGUAAACCGGGCACGUUAUAUGCCACAGAACCCAUGCAUCAUUGCAACAAAGACUCCAUCCAGUGAUGUUCUUGUUUUUGACUAUACAAAACAUCCUUCUAAACCAGAUCCUUCUGGAGAGUGCAACCCAGACUUGCGUCUCCGUGGACAUCAGAAGGAAGGCUAUGGGCUUUCUUGGAACCCAAAUCUGAGUGGGCAUUUACUUAGUGCUUCAGAUGACCAUACCAUCUGCCUAUGGGACAUCAGUGCUGUUCCAAAGGAAGGAAAAGUUGUGGAUGCGAAGACCAUCUUUACAGGGCAUACAGCAGUAGUAGAAGAUGUUUCCUGGCAUCUGCUCCAUGAGUCUCUGUUUGGAUCCGUUGCUGAUGAUCAGAAACUUAUGAUCUGGGAUACUCGUUCAAACAAUACUUCCAAACCAAGCCACUCAGUUGAUGCUCACACUGCUGAAGUGAACUGCCUUUCUUUUAAUCCUUAUAGUGAAUUCAUUCUUGCCACAGGAUCAGCUGAUAAGACUGUUGCCUUGUGGGAUCUGAGAAAUCUGAAACUUAAGUUGCAUUCCUUUGAAUCACAUAAGGAUGAAAUAUUCCAGGUUCAGUGGUCACCUCACAAUGAGACUAUUUUGGCUUCCAGUGGUACUGAUCGCAGACUGAAUGUCUGGGAUUUAAGUAAAAUUGGAGAGGAACAAUCCCCCGAAGAUGCAGAAGAUGGGCCACCGGAGUUGUUGUUUAUUCAUGGUGGUCACACUGCCAAGAUAUCUGAUUUCUCUUGGAAUCCCAAUGAACCUUGGGUGAUCUGUUCUGUGUCAGAAGACAAUAUCAUGCAAGUGUGGCAGAUGUGAUUUGAGAGGGAGAGGGAGAGGGAAAGAGAAAAAUGUCCAUUGCCUACUGGGGAUUGAGCCUGCAACCAAGGGUCGACCCAGAAUCAAUUUCUGGUGCACUUCCCAGUGCACAGGAUUAUACUCAACCUAUUGGGCCACACCAGCCAGGGCUUUUUACUAUGAUGAAUGAUGUCUGACUGAAGGACUCAAGAAGGCAGAGAAUAUUUAUAAUGAUGAAGACCCUGAAGGAAGUGUGGAUCCAGAAGGACAGGGGUCCUAGAUUCGUCUGCACUUGUAAUUUUAGACUGCCUGCCCUUUUCCUCUCAACCCUGAUAGUGAUUUAACACUGGUUCUGAGACACAGACUUUGUUCAGCUAUCCCUCUAUAAUAGGUACCAUCAACAAUGUUAUUAACCCAAUCCAAGGGUGUUUUCUAAAUAUUAACUGAGGGGCUUGAUUCAGCAAAGCCACAGACUUAAUAUUUAAAUUUUUUUCAGGAAUUUUCUAGUAUCAAAGAUCUAAAGUAGCCACUGAAAGGGGAAUAUUGUGUGUGGUUAUUUUAUUUUUCUCUGUAUGCCAUAUCCCCACAUUUUUCAGGCUCAUUUAAGUAAAGGCUAGAAGUAAAUAAGGAAUAGAGCCAAGAGAGGUAGGUGUGUGAGCCAUGAAGUGUAAGUACUGCAAGAUGUUUUUAUUCAGGAAUUAGGGGAGAUUUGAGUCAUAACUUCCUACUCUAAAAUCUUCACACCUGACUUUCCAGGAUGCACAUUUCCUACGUAGACUAGUCUCCUCUCCGUUUCUUAAGUCAAAAGUAUGUGUUCCUGUUUUCCAUAUAUUUUUGCUUGUUAGUGUAUUUCUUGAGCUGAUUUCAUAUUAUUUCUUUCCUUUCUGUGAAAUGGUUUUUUUUUAAAAACUUGGGACCACCAAGUUGUAAAGAUGUAUGUUUUUACCUGACAGUUAUACCACAGGUAGGCUGUCCAGCUAAGUUGAGAAGAGUGAAUCUAUAGCUUGUAUUUGUUUUUAAAAUUAAAUUAAUCCUGGAUAAGAGUUGCUUUUUUUUUUUUAGGAGUUAGUCCUUGACCACUAGUUUGAUACCAUCUCUGUUUUGGGUGACCUGUUUCACUAACAGGCCUGUUACUCUCUAUGACUAACUGUGUAAGUGCUUAUAAUGAAAUAAAUUGCUUUUCUACAUAACCCAA